AUUGAACGCUGGCGGCAGGCCUAACACAUGCAAGUCGAACGAGUGGCAGACGGGUGCGAUAUGUCUGUGAAACUGCCUGAUGGAGGGGGUUAACUACUGGAAACGGUAGUUAAUACCGCUUAACCUCGGUAGUGCCCAGAUGGGAUUCGCUAUUAGGUGGGGUAAAGGCUAACCUAGGCGACGAUCCCUAGCUGGUCUGAGAGGGUGACCAGCCACACGGGAACGGAGACAAGGUCAAGACACCAACAGGAGGCAGCAGUGGGGAAGAUGGGACAAUGGGCGCAAGCAUGAGGCAGCAAUGCCGCGUGUAUGAAGAAGGCCUUCGGGUUGUAAAGUUCUUACAGCGGGGAGGCGUUACCCGCAGAAGAAGCAACGGCUAACUCCGUGCCAGCAGCCGCGGUAAUGC
rnacentral:rRNA from 1 species